rnacentral:rRNA from 1 species
GAUGAACGCUGGCGGCGUGCUUAACACAUGCAAGUCGAACGGAAUCUUAGGAUUCAGUGGCGGACGGGUGAGUAACGCGUGAGUAUCUGCCCCAAGGCGGGGGACAACCAUUGGAAACGAUGGCUAAUACCCCAUGUGCCGAGAGGUGAAAGGUUUACCACCUUGGGAUGAGCUCGCGUCUGAUUAGUUAGUUGGUGGGGUAACGGCCUACCAAGACGACGAUCAGUAGCUGGUCUGAGAGGAUGAUCAGCCACACUGGGACUGAGACACGGCCCAGACUCCUACGGGAGGCAGCAGUGGGGAAUUUUCCGCAAUGGGCGAAAGCCUGACGGAGCAACGCCGCGUGAGGGAGGAAUGUCUUUGGAUUGUAAACCUCUUUUCUCAAGGAAGAUAAUGACGGUACUUGAGGAAUCAGCAUCGGCUAACUCCG